rnacentral:tRNA from 1 species
GCGCCGAUGGUUUAGUGGUAAAAUUCUCCGUUGCCAUCCGAGCAGCGUCGGGGAGCCGGGGGUUCGAUUCCCCCUCGGCGCA